rnacentral:rRNA from 1 species
UACGGAGGGGGCUAGCGUUGUUCGGAAUUACUGGGCGUAAAGCGCGCGUAGGCGGACCUGCAAGUCGGGGGUGAAAGCCCGAGGCUCAACCUCGGAACUGCCUUCGAUACUGCGGGUCUCGAGUCCGGGAGAGGUGAGUGGAAUUCCUAGUGUAGAGGUGAAAUUCGUAGAUAUUAGGAAGAACACCAGUGGCGAAGGCGGCUCACUGGACCGGUACUGACGCUGAGGCGCGAAAGCGUGGGUAGCAAACGGG